UACAGAGGUCUCAAGCGUUGUUCGGAUUCAUUGGGCGUAAAGGGUGCGUAGGCGGCGCGGUAAGUCGGGUGUGAAAUCUCGGAGCUUAACUCCGAAACUGCAUUCGAUACUGCCGUGCUUGAGGACUGGAGAGGAGACUGGAAUUUACGGUGUAGCGGUGAAAUGCGUAGAUAUCUGGAGGAACACCGGUGGCGAAGGCGGGUCUCUGGGCCGAUACUGACGCUGAGGAGCGAAAGCGUGGGGAGCGAACAGG
rnacentral:rRNA from 1 species